UACGUAGGGACCAAGCGUUGUUCGGAUUUACUGGGCGUAAAGGGCGCGUAGGCGGCAUGACAAGUCACUUGUGAAAUCUCUGGGCUUAACUCAGAACGGCCAAGUGAUACUGUCGCGCUAGAGUGCAGAAAGGGCAAUCGGAAUUCUUGGUGUAGCGGUGAAAUGCGUAGAUAUCAAGAGGAACACCUGAGGCGAAGGCGGGUUGCUAGGCUGACACUGACGCUGAUGCGCGAAAGCCAGGGGAGCAAACGGG
rnacentral:rRNA from 1 species